rnacentral:rRNA from 1 species
GACGAACGCUGGCGGCGUGCCUAAUACAUGCGAGUAGAACGCUGAAGGAGGAGCUUGCUUCUCUGGAUGAGUUGCGAACGGGUGAGUAACGCGUAGGUAACCUGCCUGGUAGCGGGGGAUAACUAUUGGAAACGAUAGCUAAUACCGCAUAAUAGCAGUUAUUGCAUGAUAACUGUUUGAAAGGUGCAAUUGCACCACUACCAGAUGGACCUGCGUUGUAUUAGCUAGUUGGUGGGGUAACGGCUCACCAAGGCGACGAUACAUAGCCGACCUGAGAGGGUGAUCGGCCACACUGGGACUGAGACACGGCCCAGACUCCUGCGGGAGGCAGCAGUAGGGAAUCGUCGGCAAUGGACGGAAGUCUGACCGAGCAACGCCGCGUGAGUGAAGAAGGUUUUCGGAUCGUAAAGCUCUGUUGUAAGAGAAGAACGAGUGUGAGAGUGGAAAGUUCACACUGUGACGGUAUCUUACCAGAAAGGGACGGCUAACUACGUG